GUAGUUAUGUCAGAAUUAUAUGAGUUAGUUUUAAGCAUUAAUUAUGGAAUUUCCUAACUACU
rnacentral:tRNA from 1 species